ACUGCAUGAUUCAAUUUAUAUCAGCAGGCCCUGACAUUGUAUAAGCUUCAGGCCCCACAAAACCUGGAUCUGCCCUGCCAGGAUCAGCAUCUAGAGGAAAACUACUACUUCCACAAUAGCACAACCAAUCUGAUCAUCCCUGCAUCAGUGAGCAUUCUCCAGAGAAACAGAGCCAACAGGAUAUGUGUAUAUAUGUGAAGAAAGACUUAUUUUAAGGAGUUGGCUCAUGCAAUUAUGGAGGUGCAAGUCCAAAAUCUGUAGGGCAGGCAGAUGGGCAGACUGGAGACCCAGAGAAGAGUUGCAGUUCAAGUCCAAAGUCGGUUGGAAGAAUUCCCUCUUGCUGGGUAACACUGGGGAAGCAGGAGUAGAUGGAAAGGGGAGGUGUCAGGCUUUGCUCUACCAAGGACUUCAACUGAUUGGAUGAGGCCCAGUAACAUUAUGGAGGGAAACCUGCUUUGCUCAGAGUUUACUGAUUUAAAUAUUAAUCUCAUCCACAAAAAAAUAAAUAACCUUCACAGAAACAUUUAGAAUAUUUGACCAAAUAUCUAAGUCCCAUGGCUCAGACAACUUAACACAUAAAAUUAUCCAUCACAAUUCCAUUAUCCCAAUACAGGUCGGCAGGGCCUUGGGCAGGUGGUAACCUCAGCUCUGGAGUCUACAGCAAUACUCUCACACUUAACAGAUGUAGUUCUGUGGGUCCAGGUCCCACUUCGCAAGAGAGAAUCUGAUGGGCUAAUUUCGACCAAGUCUCCUUUCCUAGUUCAAUCACGUGUAAGGGUUAGAGAAAGGGUUGGGCUCACAAGGGACUUAGG
rnacentral:lncRNA from 1 species